rnacentral:snRNA from 1 species
ACACUCAUGUUUCUUUUCAGAUCGUAUAAAUCUUUCGCCUUUUACUAAAGAUUUCCGUGGGGAGGAACGCAAUGAGUAUAAACUAAUUUUUUGAAUGCUCUGCUUAAAUGUGGGGU